rnacentral:misc_RNA from 1 species
GGAAGUAAAAUCGUAACAAGGUUUCCGUAGGUGAACCUGCGGAAGGAUCAUUAACGAGUUAGGGUCUUCUAGGCCCGACCUCCCAACCCUUUGUUUACUGAACCAUUGUUGCCUCGGUGGGUCCGUCUUACGACCGCCGGGGGAUCGCCGCGAGGCGCCCCCUGGCCAGCGCCCACCGAUAGCCCAACCUUUAAAACCCUUUGUGAAUCGUGUCUUAUGUCUAAAUUUAUGAUUAAAUAAUCAAAACAAAACUUUCAACAACGGAUCUCUUGGUUCUG